rnacentral:misc_RNA from 1 species
AAGUCGUAACAAGGUUUCCGUAGGUGAACCUGCGGAAGGAUCAUUAACACGUUUUCCAACGUUAUUUGACCCAUUCCAUUUUCCGUGCACAAACACAUGCGUCCGGCCUCCCAGCCGCCCGCCGGGUUUACUCGGUGUUGGCCUGUUGGGCGUCUGCACUUUUGUGAGUCUUUGGACUCUCAGCUGAGCAGGCGUUGCCACCUCACCCAAACCCUUUAAUCUAAUCUAUCUGAACUUUUAGUUGAACGAGGCGCAAGCUUCUGACAACGACACGAAACAAACAACAACUCUUAACAACGGAUAUCUUGGUUCUC